rnacentral:rRNA from 1 species
AACGAACGCUGGCGGCAGGCUUAACACAUGCAAGUCGAACGGUUGUAGCAAUACAGCAGUGGCAGACGGGUGAGUAACACGUGGGAACCUUCCUAGGGGUACGGAACAACUCAGGGAAACUUGAGCUAAUACCGUAUACGUCCGUGAGGAGAAAGUUUUAACGCCCCUAGACGGGCCCGCGUAGGAUUAGGUAGUUGGUGGGGUAACGGCUCACCAAGGCGACGAUCGGUAGGUGGUCUGAGAGGACGAUCACCCAGACUGGGACUGAGACACGGCCCAGACUCCUACGGGAGGCAGCAGUCGGGAAUUUUGCGCAAUGGACGAAAGUCUGACGCAGCAACGCCGCGUGAGGGAUGAAGGCC